GACGAACGCUGGCGGCGUGCUUAACACAUGCAAGUCGAACGGAAGGGCCCUGCUUUUGUGGGUUGCUCGAGUGGCGAACGGGUGAGUAACACGUGAGUAACCUGCCCUUGACUUUGUGAUAACUUCAGGAAACUCGGGCUAAUACCGGAUAUGAGCUCCUGCUGCAUGGUGGGGGUUGGAAAGUUUCGGCGGUUGGGGAUGGACUCGCGGCUUAUCAGCUUGUUGGUGGGGUAGUGGCUUUCCAAGGCUUUGACGGGUAGCCGGCCUGAGAGGGUGACCGGCGACAGUGGGACUGAGAUACGGCCCAGACUGCUACGGGAGGCAGCAGUGGGGAAUAUUGCACAAUGGGCGGAAGACUGAUGCAGCAACGCCGCGUGCGGGAUGACGGCCUUCGGGUUGUAAACCGCUUUCGCCUGUGACGAAGCGUGAGUGACGGUAAUGGGUAAAGAAGCACCGGCUAACUACGUG
rnacentral:rRNA from 1 species